GAACGCUAGCGGCAGGCUUAACACAUGCAAGUCGAGGGGCAGCAUGAGACGGAGAUUCGUCGAAGUCUUGAUGGCGACCGGCGCAAGGGUGCGUAACGCGUGAGCAACUUGCCCGUUUCUGGGGAAUAACCGGUGGAAACGCCGACUAAUACCCCAUAGUAUUGAGUUUAGGCAUCUUUACUCAAUUAAAGAAUUUCGGAAACGGAUAGGCUCGCGUGACAUUAGCUAGAUGGCGGGGUAACGGCCCACCAUGGCGACGAUGUCUAGGGGUUCUGAGAGGAAGGUCCCCCACACUGGAACUGAGACACGGUCCAGACUCCUACGGGAGGCAGCAGUGAGGAAUAUUGGUCAAUGGUCUGACGACUGAACCAGCCAUGCCGCGUGAAGGUCACGGCCCUAUGGGUCUUAAACUUCUUUUGUAAGGGAGCAAUAAGUCUCACGUGUGGGAUGAUGAGAGUACCUUACGAAUAAGCAUCGGCUAACUCCGUG
rnacentral:rRNA from 1 species